rnacentral:rRNA from 1 species
GACGAACGCUGGCGGCGUGCUUAAUACAUGCAAGUCGAGCGGACCUCGCGGCGCGUUGUUGGUUUCCAGCAACAAGCUGCACAGGUUAGCGGCGAACGGGUGAGUAACGCGUGGGUAAUCUGCCCCCAAGACCGGGAUAACAGGGCGAAAGCGCUGCUAAUACCGGAUAAACUCCUUUUGUCACCUGGCAAGGGGAGCAAAGCAUUAGCGCUUGGGGAUGAGCCCGCGUUCCAUUAGCUAGUUGGUGGGGUAAGAGCCCACCAAGGCGACGAUGGAUAGCCGGCCUGAGAGGGUGACCGGCCACACUGGGACUGAGACACGGCCCAGACUCCUACGGGAGGCAGCAGUAGGGAAUUUUCGGCAAUGGGGGAAACCCUGACCGAGCAACGCCGCGUGAGGGAUGAAGGUUUUCGGAUCGUAAACCUCUGUCUUUGAGGACGAUAAUGACGGUACUCAAGGAGGAAGCCCCGGCUAACUACGUGCCAGCAGCCGCGGUAAUACGUACGGGGCGAGCGUUGUCCGGAAUUACUGGGCGUAAAGGGCGU